rnacentral:lncRNA from 1 species
CUGCUGCCUCUUGCUUGAAUGCUUUCAGGGACCAUGCAGGCACACUCCUCAGCUAUCCCCUUGUUCUGGUCCUCCAGCAACAGUCUUGGGAAGUUAGUGGGUUCCACAAUCCUGAGCCCAAGCUCAGUGCAGCUCUCCCACCCUCAGGUGUCUUCUGCAAACAAAGGACCUCCCAGAGCCCACGGAGGGGGAAUGUUUCGAAAGUGUGCUGGCCAGGAAAGAGACCAGACGUGAACCACACUUCCUCCCUCCCUCUGCUCCAGAUGUCUGCACCAGAGGUGGUCGGGAGGAGGCUGCCAGAUAGACAAGACAACAGGAGCGUUGGAAAAGGGCGGCUUCCACUACUACCUCCCAAUGUGGGGAUGUGACUGGAAGAGCAGCUCCAUGACCCAAGGAUGGGACUUUGGCUUUCUUUUAUCCCCAAGCCAGCCCGUGACAUGCCUUCUGCUAGAUGGAUGGCUGUCUGCAGCUCUGACCCUGUAGUUUUGCGCAGAUUAUCUGUCCCAUGAAACGUUUAGACUCUGG